rnacentral:rRNA from 1 species
AGCGACUAAGCGUACACGGUGGAUGCCCUGGCAGUCAGAGGCGAUGAAGGGCGUGCUAAUCUGCGAUAAGCGCCGGUAAGGUGAUAUGAACCGUUAUAACCGGCGAUACCCGAAUGGGGAAACCCAGUGUGACUCGUCACACUAUCAUUAACUGAAUCCAUAGGUUAAUGAGGCGAACCGGGGGAACUGAAACAUCUAAGUACCCCGAGGAAAAGAAAUCAACCGAGAUUCCCCCAGUAGCGGCGAGCGAACGGGGAGGAGCCCAGAGCCUGAAUCAGCAUGUGUGUUAGUGGAAGCGUCUGGAAAGGCGCGCGAUACAGGGUGACAGCCCCGUACACAAAAGCGCAUGUGCUGUGAGCUCGAUGAGUAGGGCGGGACACGUGGUAUCCUGUCUGAAUAUGGGGGGACCAUCCUCCAAGGCUAAAUACUCCUGACUGACCGAUAGUGAACCAGUACCGUGAGGGAAAGGCGAAAAGAACCCCGGCGAGGGGAGUGAAAAAGAACCUGAAACCGUGUACGUACAAGCAGUGGGAGCACCCUUUGGGUGUGACUGCGUACCUUUUGUAUAAUGGGUCAGCGACUUAUAUUCUGUAGCAAGGUUAACCGAAUAGGGGAGC